rnacentral:misc_RNA from 1 species
UUCUAAUUGCCUUUCUUCCCAGAGAUGAUAUGAUCUUUUUGAAAUUGUUUUUAGUGAGGAAAGAGCUGAUUUUUCUUCAUUUGGAGAGAGUUUCAACUUUAGAUCGGUAGUUGAAGGACAUUUUUGCUGGGUUUCUUUCUUUCUUUCUUAUAGUUUUCAUAUACAAAUUCGGUUUCUUUUGAAUUGAAUAGUGAGAGUUAACCUUGACUAGUUCAUUCCUCCAAUAAUUCCUUCUGUUCAUUUACUUCAAUUCAUAAAAUUACUUCAAGUAUAGUGAAUGAUUAUAGUGACUAAGAUAAUGCAUGCCUCACAAUUGUAGAUUUAAUUUUCUUACUUGGAGCAUCUUCUUAUCAUCCCAGCGGAGUUAUUUUAAUUUUUAUCUCCCGACACUUGAAAAGAUAAGAAGUUGUAUGGGACCUUUUGCAUGUUCUGACACUAUACACUUGCAAGGGCCGUUUUCCCAUUUUGAGACUGGAGUGACCGCCCCCAUAAUGUAGAAGUCUUUUUAUUGCCUUCUCUCCUUGUAUCCCAAAUACCAAAGUAGGGCAUGAGCCCAGAUUUAGUUCUUUUGUUUUUAAAUAAUUUUGCAAUGCCAGUUUUUAAUCAUCUCCUGUACUACUUAGAAGCACCUGAGGGAUUUGGAUGUAAGCAAAAAGGAAGGCCCAUGGUUUGGAAGCAACUUCACAAUAAAUUAGUAAAUGAUUGAUUUUCCGUCCGUUCUUUCACAUAAUAUGCCUACUUGCCUAGAAGAUUCUUCCCUUCUUAAGAUUACCUAAAGUCAAGACUGAGAAAAUGGAUGCACAAAGGAAAGAAUGUUACUUUAUCUGUUUUUCCCCCACCCUUGUUAUUUUAUCACUGAAAAUUUGCCUUAAGCUUUUUUCCUUGGUACAAUUCCUUGGUACAAUCCAUACCUUCCGAAUUUAUCUAGAGCUCUUGGAAGAAAGGUACAAAAUAGAUUAACUCAUAUUGAUGAAAAUUCUUGAAAACAGUCGAUUCCUACUUGCCACUUUGUUAAAGCCCUAAGUAGUCGUAAAAUGAAGCCUUUUCUUCUAAUAUAGCCUUUCUUUUAUGUCAUAUCCUAUCAAAACAA